rnacentral:rRNA from 1 species
GGGUUGUGAGGUUAAGCGACUAAGCGUACACGGUGGAUGCCCUGGCAGUCAGAGGCGAUGAAGGACGUGCUAAUCUGCGAUAAGCGUCGGUAAGGUGAUAUGAACCGUUAUAACCGGCGAUUUCCGAAUGGGGAAACCCAGUGUGAUUCGUCACACUAUCAUUAACUGAAUCCAUAGGUUAAUGAGGCGAACCGGGGGAACUGAAACAUCUAAGUACCCCGAGGAAAAGAAAUCAACCGAGAUUCCCCCAGUAGCGGCGAGCGAACGGGGAGGAGCCCAGAGUCUGAAUCAGUGUGUGUGUUAGUGGAAGCGUCUGGAAAGGCGCGCGAUACAGGGUGACAGCCCCGUACACAAAAAUGCACAUAUUGUGAGCUCGAUGAGUAGGGCGGGACACGUGGUAUCCUGUCUGAAUAUGGGGGGACCAUCCUCCAAGGCUAAAUACUCCUGACUGACCGAUAGUGAACCAGUACCGUGAGGGAAAGGCGAAAAGAAC